rnacentral:misc_RNA from 1 species
AAGUCGUAACAAGGUUUCCGUAGGUGAACCUGCGGAAGGAUCAUUACUGAACUGCUGACACGAGCUGUUGCUGGUCUCCAAACGGGGCAUGUGCACGCUCUGUUUGUGCAUCCACUCACACCUGUGCACCUUCUGUAGUUCUGUGGCCUGGGGGACUUGUCCUCCUGCCGUGGUUCUGCGUCUUUACACUCACGCUGUGAUAAAGUCUAAUGGAAUGCAUGCCGCGUUUAACGCAAUACAAUACAACUUUCAGCAACGGAUCUCUUGGCUCUC